AUUGAACGCUGGCGGCAGGCUUAACACAUGCAAGUCGAGCGAGCGGCGGACGGGUGAGUAAUGUCUGGGAAACUGCCUGAUGGAGGGGGAUAACUACUGGAAACGGUAGCUAAUACCGCAUACCAUCAGAUGUGCCCAGAUGGGAUUAGCUAGUAGGUUGGGUAAUGGCUCACCUAGGCGACUAUCCCUAGCUGUUCUGCGAGGAUGACCAUCCACACUGGAACUGGGACACGGUCCAGCAGCCUACGGGAGGCAGCAGUGGGGAAUAUUGCACAAUGGGCGCAAGCCUGAUGCAUCCAUGCCGCGUGUGUGAUGAAGGCCUUCGGGUUGUAAAGCACUUUCAGCGAGGAGGCGUUACUCGCAGAAGAAGCACCGGCUAACUCCGUGCCAGCCGCCGCGGUAAUUC
rnacentral:rRNA from 1 species